rnacentral:lncRNA from 1 species
CUGCAUAGCAUGCUACAGUGAAAUCUUUUGUGAAAGGAAGAGUCAGUCAAUGAAGUAAACUUCAUUGUCAUCUUCUUUUAAGAAAUUUGUCACUCCCUCUCCAGCCCUCAGCAACCACCACCCGGAUCAGUCAGUAGCUAUCAACAUUGAGACAAAACCAUCCAGCAGCAAAAUGGUGAUGACUUGCUGAAGGCCUAGAUGAUGGUUAGCAUUUUUUGGCAAUCACGUAUUUUCAAAGUAAGGUAUAUACAUUAUAUUUUAGACAUAAUGCUAUUGCACACUUAAUUGAUUACAGUAGCUUAAACAUAACUUCUUUUUUUGAGAUGGCAUCUGGCUCUGUUGCCCAGGUUGGAGUGCAGUGGUGCGAUCUUGGCUUACUGCAAACUCUGCCUCCCAGGUUCAAACAAUUCUCCUGCCUCAGCCUCCUGAGUAGCUGGGACUACAGGAGUGCACCACCAUUUUUGUAUUUCCGGUAGACACAGGGUUUCACCAUGUUGGCCAGGCUGGUCUCGAAAUUCUGACCUCAGGUGAUGCACCCGCCUCGGCCUCCCAAUGUGCUGUGAUUACAGGCGUGAGCCACCAUGCCUGGCAACAUAACUUUUAUAUACACCAGAAAGCAAAACAUUUCGUGUGACUUGCAAAAAGUUUCGUGUGACUUGCGCUGUUGUGAUAUUCCCCUUAUUGUGGUUACCUAGAACCAAACCUGCAAUAUCUCCAAGGUGUGCCUGUAUCCCUAGAAGCAGAGCUGGAGUAAGGACUUGGGUGUGGGUGGUUUAUUUGGGAAGUGAUUCCAAGAAGCAAGAGUCAGAAGUGGGAAGAGUGAGCCAGGAAAGAAAGAAAAACCAAAAUAAUGGCAUGUUAUUGAGGCUCCUGCCAUGGUGUUUUUUCUUCAGGACCUUCCAAGAGGUUCCGGAAAGUUAUCCAGAACUGUUCACCUGAAACAUGAGCCUGGAGCAUUUGUCCACCUGUCCCACACUGGUUGAGGUCUUCCCCUGAGGCGCCCAACAGCAAACAAAUGAUGGGGCCACAUGCAAAUCCAGGCAGAACCCUUCUAUUAUAUGAAGCUCAAUGUUUUCUUGUUUGCAUCUUGUUAUGAAUACACCUAUUUGCAAAGGGGUUUUGAAGCUACUUUAAAACAUUUUGUGGUUGUGCAUGGUGGCUGACACAUGUAAUCCCAGCAUUUUGGGAGACCAAGGUGGACAGAUUGCUUGAGCUCAGGAGUUUGAGACCAGCCUGGCCAAUAUGGUGAAACCCUGUGUCUACUAAAAAUACAAAAAAAUUAGCUGGGCGUGUUGGUGUGCACCUGUAAUCCCAGCUAAUCUGGAGGCUGAGGCAGGGGAAUCACUUGAACCCAGGAAAGGAAGGUUGCAGUAAGCUGAGAUCAUGCCACUGAACUCCAGCCUGAGCAACAGAGUGAGAUUCUGUCUCCAAAUAAAAAAUAAAUAAGAUUGAAUUUUGAGCUCCUGACCAUGUCCCUAGAUUGUACUCAUAUGUAUUUUGAUGUCUAAUCAAAUUUAUUCUUAGUGCGCUUUUUAGGGAAAGUAUUUAUUGAGCAUCUACUGUAUAUCAUGUGCUGAGAUAGGCACCAGUGGUGCAGGGAACAUAUGGCACAGUCUCUGACCUCAGGUAACUUUCACUCUCAUACAUAUGUAUUAGGACUCCAAUACAUGUGUGAAUAUAAGAUAGUAUGAUA